rnacentral:lncRNA from 1 species
GGGAACUCUGCUCCUGGGACAUGUGGUUCCCACACCUCCCUCUGGGUCAAGGCAAGAAGCAGCAAAACUGCAGCAGUACUGCAGGAUUGUCCUGUGGGCCUGGGUGAACUGGGGCUGGGAGACACUGGUCUAGCAGAUGUUCUGGUGGAGUAGAUUAACUGAAUGGACCCACCAGGUGGAAUAAAGCCUGAAAAAAUAACUGAGAUCCGUAUCUCCACCUGAAAAAGCCAAUAGCUUUACUAGUAAAAACAAGUAAAGAAAAGUCAGGACCUCGAACACCUUUCCAAAAUGCCAGGGAAAGGUCUUGCUUUUGGGCUGGUGUGUGCUUUGUGCCAUCACCCCAGAGAGGUGCAGCAGCAUGGUACCAGUGGGAAGGACAAGACCAGAGCAUCUCUACUUUUGAAGAAGUUUGUAGUACUGGAGCUCUUCUUCAGCUCUGUACAUCCGCAGAUUACAAAGCACACAUCUUACAGUCUAACCUGGUAUGUGAGU